CGGGGCCCGAGUGCCGGCUUCUGCCCUGCGCGCUACACAAGUGGAGCUCCUUCUCCUCCACCUACCUUCCUGAAACUUUAAUGGGAAUACUUAUGUGAAGGCAUUGUUCAGAAGGAAGAUACUUGGGUGUAAUGAACAUUUUAGUGGAUAAGCCAAAUGACCAGCCUUCACAGUGGUCUACAGAGAGCAACUACGCUGCCCAGUACUUGUUUCUGAAGCUUGAAAGGCCUGCGAUAGUCCAGAAUAUCACAUUUGGAAAAUACGAGAAAACUCAUGUCUGCAGUUUGAAGAAAUUUAAAGUCUUUGGUGGAAUGAAUGAAGAAAACAUGACAAAGCUAUUGUCCAGUGGCUUAAAGAAUGAUUAUAACAAAGAAACAUUUACCUUGAAGCAUAAAAUUGAUGAACAGAUGUUUCCUUGUUGAUUCAUUAAAAUAGUUCCACUCUUAUCGUGGGGACCCAGCUUUAACUUUAGCAUCUGGUAUGUUGAACUUAGUGGCAUUGAUGAUCCCGAUGUAGUACAACCCUGUCUCAACUGGUAUAGUUAAGUAGUACCGUGAACAGGAAGCUAUUCGCCUUUGCCUAAAACACUUCAGACAACAUAACUAUACAGAGGCCUUUGAAUCACUGCAAAAGAAAACCAAGAUUGCCCUGGAACAUCCCAUGUUAACAGAUCUGCACGAUAAAUUGGUACUGAAGGGUGAUUUUGAUGCUUGUGAAGAAUUGAUUGAAAAAGCUGUAAAUGAUGGCUUGUUCAAUCAGUACAUCAGUCAACAGGAAUAUAAGCCACGAUGGAGUCAAAUCAUUCCCAAAAGUACCAAAGGUGAUGGAGAAGAUAACCGACCAGGAAUGAGAGGAGGCCAUCAGAUGGUUAUUGAUGUUCAAACAGAGACUGUUUAUUUGUUUGGUGGCUGGGAUGGAACACAAGAUCUUGCUGACUUCUGGGCGUACAGUGUGAAAGAGAACCAAUGGACGUGUAUCUCUAGAGACACUGAGAAAGAGAAUGCUCCUAGCGCUAGAUCAUGUCAUAAAAUGUGCAUUGACAUUCAACGAAGGCAAAUCUACACACCGGGGCGUUAUUCGGAUUCCUCUGUGAAGAACAGCAAAUCUCUGAAAAGUGAUUUCUAUCAUUAUGACAUUGACACAAACACAUGGAUGUUACUCAGUGAGGAUACUGCUGAUGGAGGACCGAAACUGGUGUUUGAUCAUCAGUUCCAAUGACAGGAUUCAUACAGAG